GACCUGAUAGCUCAGUGGUUAGAGCAUUUGGGAUCUUUCCAGAGGGCCUGGGUUCAAUCCUCAGUCUGGUCA
rnacentral:tRNA from 1 species